rnacentral:misc_RNA from 1 species
GCACGCUCUUCACUGCAUCUAUGUGCUUUUUGUACUGAAUGGUCCGGUUUCUCGUCGCCAUGGAUUCCCAAAAAAGAAAAAAACCAGGAGAAAAAGAAAAACUAUCGAUGAAAAUUUACAGUGGGUUUGUUGGCGGACGAGGAACUUGUGAGUGAGGAAAAUGGUUUCUCAGGAAUUUCAAGAGUGUGAGCAGGAGAGGAAUUGAACGACUCAUGGAAAUUAGGAUUUUGGGGGUUU